UGCUCUCCAAGUAUAGCCGCCGCCGGCCAUCUAUAAAUUCUCGGUCAUCUGCCUCUCACUCUGUAUCUCCUAUUGCACAGCCCAGCGAAUCCUCCCCAUUCCUCAUGUUCAAGACAAGAUUUCCUCCGCGGCGGCACACGCGUUUGGCCUGUUUGUGGCGGCGGUGCUGUCGGGAAGGACCGUCGAGAUGUAAGCUGGUGCGAUGGGCCGGCCGGUGGCACAUCAAACCGGCCAAAUCUGAGGCACGCGAGGCUCUCACAUCUGUUCUGCCUCCUGGAAUUGGGGUUUCAUGGCCGCGUUGUCAUUGAUUGAUCCGUUUUAAGAAUAAAUAAAUUUCUUCAUUCAGGUUAAGAAAUGUAUGCGUUGUUCGAGGUAUAAGCAACGUGUGUUGUCUGGUUAGUCUA